UUGACAGUAGACAGUCAGUAAAAAGGGCAUGAAUGACUAAAUGUUUUUCUGUUUCAAAACUGUAUCUUCUCAGUUUUGUGACCAUUAAAACUCAGGCAAUUUACUCUCUGAUAAAUUGAGAUUACUUUCUACAUCAAAGUUGCUGGGGAUGCAACAUCAAGCAAGGCAGACAAGACUCCUGGCUCCAUCUAACUUACAUGGUAGUGGAGGAGGAGUAUAAUAAACUGAUGUUUAAUAUAAUGUCAAAAGUGAUGAAUGCUAGGAGAAAAAUAAAGCACAAUGAGGGGAUUGCUACUUUGAUAGGAUGGUCAUGAUAGAUUUCUUUGUGCAGGUGACAUCUUAGCAGUACCCAUAGUGAUAUGGGGGAAAGAACCACGUGGAUUUUGAGUUAUGAUGGAAUAACUGGAAUUAGACUUGCCCUUCUGAAGUAAACAACUAGAAAGCUCUACAACAGUCAUAAGUCAACUGUUUUCAAGCAUUGGAUAAAACAACACUGUGGUCUUUGCGGGAAGAAAAACACAUGAGGUAG
rnacentral:lncRNA from 1 species